UAACACAUGCAAGUCGAACGAAGUAGCAAUACUUAGUGGCAGACGGGUGAGUAACAUGUGGGUGUCUACCCUUUGGCCUGGAAUAACACGAGGAAACUUGUGCUAAUACCGGAUAAGUCUUUACGGAGAAAGCUUUAUGCACCAUUGGAUGAGCCCGCACUUGAUUAGUUUGUUGGUAGGGUAAUGGCCUACCAAGACUAUGAUCAAUAGCUGAUUUGAGAGGAUGAUCAGCCACAUUGGGACUGAGACACGGCCCAAACUCCUACGGGAGGCAGCAGUGGGGAAUCUUGCACAAUGGAGGAAACUCUGAUGCAGCGAUGCCGCGUGAGUGAAGAAGCCUUUGGGUUGUAAAGCUCUUUCGUCGGGGAAGAAAAUGACUGUACCCGAAUAAGAAGGUCCGGCUAACUUCGUGCCAGCAGCCGCGGUAAUACGAAGGGACCUAGCGUAGUUCGGAAUUACUGGGCUUAAAGAGUUCGUAGGUGGUUGAAAAAGUUGGUGGUGAAAUCCCAGAGCUUAACUCUGGAACUGCCAUCAAAACUUCUCAGCUAGAGUAUGAUAGAGGAAAGCAGAAUUUCUAGUGUAGAGGUGAAAUUCGUAGAUAUUAGAAAGAAUACCAAUUGCGAAGGCAGCUUUCUGGAUCAUUACUGACACUGAGGAACGAAAGCAUGGGUAGCGAAGAGGAUUAGAUACCCUCGUAGUCCAUGCCGUAAACGAUGUGUGUUAGACGUUGGAAAUUUAUUUUCAGUGUCGCAGGGAAACCGAUAAACACACCGCCUGGGGAGUACGACCGCAAGGUUAAAACUCAAAUGAAUUGACGGGGACCCGCACAAGUAGUGGAGCAUGUGGUUUAAUUCGAAGAUACGCGCAGAACCUUACCAACACUUGACAUGUUCGUCGCGACUCUAAGAGAUUAGAGUUUCGGUCGGCCGGACGAAACACAGGUGCUGCAUGGCUGUCGUCAGCUCGUGUCGUGAGAUGUUGGGUUAAGUCCCGCAACGAGCGCAACCCUCACUUUUAGUUGCCAUCAUUAAGUUGGGCACUCUGAAAGAACUGCCAGUGAUAAGCUGGAGGAAGGUGGGGAUGGCGUCAAGUCCUCAUGGCCCUUACGUGUUGGGCUACACACGUGCUACAAUGGCAUCUACAACAGGAAGCAAAACGGCAACGUUAAGCAAAUCCCGAAAAGAUGCCUCAGUUCGGAUUGCACUCUGCAACUCGAGUGCAUGAAGCUGGAAUUACUAGUAAUCGUGGAUCAGCGUGCCACGGUGAAUGCGUUCCCGGGUCUUGUACACACCGCCCGUCACACCAUGGGAGUUGGUUCUACCUUAAGGCAAGGUUUCAAACCCUUGACCACGGUAUAGUCAGCGACUGGGGUG
rnacentral:rRNA from 1 species